AGAUUGAACGCUGGCGGCAUGCUUUACACAUGCAAGUCGAACGGCAGCACGGGGGCAACCCUGGUGGCGAGUGGCGAACGGGUGAGUAAUGCAUCGGAACGUAUCCUUGAGUGGGGGAUAACGUAGGGAAACUUACGCUAAUACCGCAUACGACCGAGAGGUGAAAGCGGGGGACCGAAAGGCCUCGCGCUGAAGGAGCGGCCGAUGUCCGAUUAGCUAGUUGGUGAGGUAAAGGCUUACCAAGGCGACGAUCGGUAGCUGGUCUGAGAGGAUGAUCAGCCACACUGGGACUGAGACACGGCCCAGACUCCUACGGGAGGCAGC
rnacentral:rRNA from 1 species